CCGUCCCCGUUUAGGGUAACGGAAAUACGCCCGUAGGGAAACGUGGGAGUAAUACCGUAUGUGGUCGAGAGAACGAAAGAUUUAUCGCCAAGGGAUCGGCCCGCGUUGGAUUAGGUAGUUGGUGGGGUAAUGGCCUACCAAGCCGACGAUCCAUAGCUGGUUUGAGAGGAUGAUCAGCCACACUGGGACUGAGACACGGCCCAGACUCCUACGGGAGGCAGCAGUGGGGAAUCUUAGACAAUGGGGAAACCCUGAUCUAGCCAUGCCGCGUGAUCGAUGAAGGCCUUAGGGUUGUAAAGAUCUUUCAGGUGGGAAGAUAAUGACUGUACCACCAGAAGAAGCCCCGGCUAACUCCGUG
rnacentral:rRNA from 1 species